rnacentral:rRNA from 1 species
CCUACGGGUCGCACCAGUGGGGAAUAUUGGACAAUGGGCGAAAGCCUGAUCCAGCAAUGCCGCGUGCGUGAAGAAGAUCUUCGGAUUGUAAAGCACUUUCGACGGGGACGAUGAUGACGGUACCCGUAGAAGAAGCCCCGGCUAUCUUCGUGCCAGCAGCCGCGGUAAUACGAAGGGGGCUAGCGUUGCUCGGAAUGAUUGGGCGUAAAGGGCGCGUAGGCGGUUUAUGCAGUCAGAUGUGGAAUCCCCGGGCUUAACCUGGGAACUGCAUUUGAGACGCAUAGACUAGAGGUCGAGAGAGGGUUGUGGAAUUCCCAGUGUAGAGGUGAAAUUCGUAGAUAUUGGGAAGAACACCGGUGGCGAAGGCGGCAACCUGGCUCGAUACUGACGCUGAGGCGCGAAAGCGUGGGGAGCAAACAGGAUUAGAUACCCGUGUAGU